CCAGUUGGCGAUGGGGCCCUCCUGGGUGGCGAGACCCUGCAUGAUGCAGCCGAGCCACGCGAACAUGGAGAGGCGGCAGUGCUUGAGCUCCUUGAUCUUGAGCUCCUCGAGGUCACCGGACUCGGCGAGGCCGAGGGGGUCGAAGCGGCCACCGGGGGACACGUCACCGACGGUGAGCUCGUCGAAGACGGGGUCGGAGAGGCCGGUGCGGUAAGCCUCGGCGAGGCCGACGAGGACGACCUCGAUGGCGAGGACGGCCCAGAAGGAGGGGUAGCCGGAGCCCUCGGGGGCGAGGGGAGCGACGGCGCCGGGGAACUUGUCCGCGACGGCGGUGCAGUCGUCGGGGGUGCAGAGGGUACCGGCGGUGAACCAGGGGAUGCCGGUGCCGUUCUCGGCGGCCCAGGCACCGGUCACGCCGAGCAUCGCCCAGCGGCCGUGGAUGACCUCACGCUCGGCGUUCUUCUCGGAGCCGAAGGGGAUGAUGGGGGACUCGCCGCCGCCGGGGUAGGUGCCGAACUCGGGGUAGAUGUCGGCCUUGAUGACCUUGGAAACAGACUUGGCCUGAAAAGAGGAGAAAGGAGGGCGUCGUCGUCGUCAGUCGCGUGUUUCCGGCGUCAGAUCCGAGCCCGCGAAAACGAGCAUCUCCCCGAAAUUUCGGGCCGCAUUCGAAUGUCGUCAACGGCGAGUUGCGUCGCUCGCGGGUGAAAUACAC
rnacentral:lncRNA from 1 species